rnacentral:rRNA from 1 species
GAUGAACGCUGGCGGCGUGCUUAACACAUGCAAGUCGAACGGGAAUUACUUUAUUGAAACUUCGGUCGAUAUGAUUUGAUUCUAGUGGCGGACGGGUGAGUAACGCGUGGGUAACCUGCCUUAUACAGGGGGAUAACAGUCAGAAAUGACUGCUAAUACCGCAUAAGCGCACAGAGCUGCAUGGCUCGGUGUGAAAAACUCCGGUGGUAUAAGAUGGACCCGCGUUGGAUUAGCUAGUUGGUGAGGUAACGGCUCACCAAGGCGACGAUCCAUAGCCGGCCUGAGAGGGUGAACGGCCACAUUGGGACUGAGACACGGCCCAGACUCCUACGGGAGGCAGCAGUGGGGAAUAUUGCACAAUGGGGGAAACCCUGAUGCAGCGACGCCGCGUGAAGGAAGAAGUAUCUCGGUAUGUAAACUUCUAUCAGCAGGGAAGAAUUAGGACGGUAC